UCUUGAAUUAUUGGGUCCUAAAGCCUAUAUUACAGUUGUUAGCUUUUGCUGACUAUGACGAUAAACGGCUUGUGAAAUAAGCGAUACGGACCCGGGGGCGGUACCCGGCAUCUCCACCAAUUUUAAGGGGAUGAAAUAGGAUCGACGUGCGUAGUAAAGAUAAGUUUUUCGUUCGGCAAGUACCACCGUUAUCGGACUAUUGUUAUAAGUGCUAACAAAAACAAUGGUCGACGCACCGCUGCUAAUGGUAACUUAAAUGUUGCUAACCGUGGGCGUAGGCUAGCACGUAACGCUGCUUAAUAAAACAAGCAAGCGCGGUUUGAAGGGCACCGGGCAACAGAAGCCCUUC
rnacentral:tmRNA from 1 species